GGUGUACAGCGGUCAGUCUGCGGAGCUGUGGCUCCAGCCUGCUCGUCAAAUCCCAGUGCCUCGUAACUUCACAACAAUCACUCUAAAACCAUUUCUGUUCUGUGUUUUGCUCCGUCAGCGACGCAACGGCGAGAAUGCCGCACCCUGAAUGAAAGCGGAGAGGACGCGGCGUCUUGUGAAAGAGAAGGGCUGACGAGGAAGGGACGAUUCGACUGAAGCCAGCAGACUGCCCCAGCCUUUUAGCGGGGAUACUGCAGCAGGUGUCUGUCCAGCGCGACGGCGUGAAUGCCGCACCCUGAAUGAAAGCGGAGAGGACGCGCCGUCUUGUGAAAGAGAGGGGCUGACGAGAAAGGGACGAUUCGACUGAAGCCAGCAGACUGCGAUAUAUUCGCCAACGAAUCUUGACCCUAACCCCUAACCCUAACUCUAACCCAUAACCCUAACGCUAACCCCUAACUCUAACCCUAACCCCUAACCCCUAACCUCUAACCCCUAACCCUAACCCGUUCGCCAACGAAUCUCCCCAGGCGGCCGACCAGUUCUCGGCUUGGUCCCCGAGUGCAGCUCCGAACAAGAGCCGCCAAGAACUUUAAAUGUGAUGUACUGUUUUAUUUCUAGAAUAAACUGUUGUCAGUU